rnacentral:lncRNA from 10 species
GAAACCCUGUCUCUACUAAAAAUACAAAAUACAAAAAAAAUCAGCCUGGCAUGGUGGCGGGCGCCUGUGGUCCCAGCUACUCUGGAGGCUGACGCAGGAGAAUGCCGUGAACCCGGGAGGCGGAGCUUGCAGAGAGCCGGAGAUCACGCCACUGCACUCCAGCCUGGGCUACAGAGCAAGACUCCGUCUCAAAAAAAACCAAAACAAAACAAAACAAAAAAAACACCCAGUUUUUCCAUGGAGUGAUAGAAUUUAAUUGAUGAGCUUGACGAGCUUAAUUACAGAAGGGAGAGCUCCAAAAUACAUGUCUGCAGCUUCACUCGUGCCUGAGCCAGCGAGAGCAGGAACCCACCAGAAGGAAGAAACUCCAAACACAUCCGAACAUCAGAAGGAACAAACUCCAGAUGCGCCACCUUAAGAGCUGUAACACUCACCACGAGGGUCCGGGGCUUCGUUCUUGAAGUCAGUGAGACCAAGAACCCACCAAUUCUGGACACAGGAGCACAGGUGUCUUUUCAAGAUUCUGAUUUCAUUUCCUUUGGAUGUAUACCCAGCAGUGGGAUUUGUGUUCAUAAGGUCAUCACUAAGCAAGUUCUUCCCACUCAUGGAUUCUAGAGGAGUUCACCCAUGUCCAGAGAAAGUUUGCAAUUAAGGUCAUUCCUCGCUCAUUGGGAACACUGAGUCAAAGAAAAUAAGUUUGCAAGAAGACAAGGAAUGACCUGUAGGCAUACUAAGCCUGCAUUUGAGACUGACAAGGAGUGAGAGAUACUGUUUUGAGUGUGUGUGAAAAUGAAGAGAAUGAAUCAUCUUUUACUGAUUAUAAUCUAUAACUUGAGUUUGCAAGUCAAAGAACUUCUGAAACAGGGUUUCAGUUACUGCUCCUAGCAGGAUUCUCCAUUGCUACUCAUCAUAUUUUGUUAAGACAAACAGGGCUAUCAUGAAGCAGCAGACACCCCUGUCAUAUCAUGCGUGGAGGAGGAUCCAGCAUUUGUGAAAAUCACAGAAGAUCAUAUGAGAAGGCACCAUUUUAAUGAAAGAACAAGAAACCUGAAAUUCAAUAACAAAGCCUGAAGGCUAGAAAAGGUUAUGAAAUAGCCCAUGAUAAGCACAGGUGGAAAAUUGACACAAAGAGUUUUCUGCUAUGCCAAAUAAAUUUUGUUGUCUUUGUGUGUGUGUAUGCUGCGUAUCUUAAAACCAUAACAUUUUCACUGACAUUGAAUCAUCCUCCUCAGUAACUGAGGGAAACUUCCUUGGGAACCCACCUUAAAUUUUACCAUCUUUGGCAGCUUUUGAAAUGACUCUAUCUUCAAAUUCUUGAAUUUCCACAUUCUCUUCUCUGACUUUACCUUUGAUUAUUUUGCUCUCAGUAAAUCUGCAUCUCAGUCUUCCUCUUCUCAGUUCUAUCCUAGUGUACCAGCCCAUUAACCCCUGUUUGAUUUUAUUUGGCUCUCUUCCUCCAUGGGGCUACACGUAAGCCUCAUGCUCAUUGUAGUCCCUGUCUCUCUUCAACACUGGUAUCUUACCACCUCUCCAUAACUUCCCACUAUUUCUUUCUUGCCAAUCAUCAACCCUGUGUAAUAUCUACUGUCUUAUUUUCUUUGACGCUAGAAAUCAAGGCCCUGAUGGUCAAAGGCAUUAAACAAUCUAUGGGUUUGCCAUAAGUGCAUUAUGUGGUUUAUUAUUUUGCAGAUAUUUAAUGUGGUACAUGAUAAAAUGUUACUUUUUCUACUAAUCUUAUUUAUGUAGCCGAAAAUCUAGAAAAAUGUUUUUCUU